GAUGAACGCUGGCGGCGUGCUUAACACAUGCAAGUCGAACGAGAAGUGAAGACGGAAACCUUCGGGCGGAAGGCUUUAUUUCGAGUGGCGGACGGGUGAGUAACGCGUGGGUAACCUGCCUCAUACAGGGGGAUAACAGUUGGAAACGACUGCUAAUACCGCACAAGUCCACAGCACCGCACUGCGCGGGGGUAAAAACUCCGGUGGCAUGUGAUGGAUCCGCGUCGGAUCAGCGAGUUGGCGGGGUAAAGGGCCACCAAGGCGACGAUCGGUAGCGGGUCUGAGAGGAGGAACAGCCACACUGGAAAUGAGACACGGGGCAGACGCCUAAGGGAGGGAGCAGUGGGGAAGAUGGGACAAGGGGCGCAAGCCUGAUCCAGACAUACCGCGUGGGUGAAGAAGGCCUGCGGGUUGUAAAGACCUUUUGGUGGGAAAGAAAAGAAGCAGGUUAAUACCCCGCGGUUCUGACGGUACCCAAAGAAGAAGCACCGGCUAACUUCGUG
rnacentral:rRNA from 1 species